UACGAGGGGGGCUAGCGUUGCUCGGAAUUACUGGGCGGAAAGCGCACGUAGGCGGAUUGUUAAGUCGGGGGUGAAAUCCUGGAGCUCAACUCCAGAACUGCCUUUGAUACUGGCGACCUUGAGUCCGGGAGAGGUGAGUGGAACUGCGAGUGUAGAGGUGAAAUUCGUAGAUAUUCGCAAGAACACCAGUGGCGAAGGCGGCUCACUGGCCCGGUACUGACGCUGAGGUGCGAAAGCGUGGGGAGCAAACAGG
rnacentral:rRNA from 1 species